UGAACCGGCACGCAGCAACCACAGACCGCAUUCAGUGAUCUGUCAGUCACGGAACCCCGAAGUGUUGAAUUAUUCCGAACACGUUGGUCUUACCAGAUGUUUUUGGUGUGAAAAUGGUCCACUUGUCUCCUGUAUUAUGUGAGAGUGACGCUGAGGUAUCGACCCUUCAGCUGAAACACUCAGCAGCGCUGGGAGCUGCAGACAUUUUGACGGGACAAAGCAGGAGCGGCACAGGUGGACGCAGAGGCUAACAGAUGUGACACCGACGCAUCCUGAACACACACGCUGGUAAAGAUACUUUCAUCUUUAUUUCACAUGCAUUCACGAAAGAAUAUCAACUUAACACUGAAAACUGUGACAUUGAAGUUGGCUUGCCGACUCAUAUUGGCACACUUGAAUGCAGGCUUUCAACAAUACUGGCCUACAGAACGAAGUCCUCACCGUAAAGAACACAUGCUAGAUUUCAGGGUGGCGACCUCUUGUCCAUCUCCCACGCCUAUAUGGGUUUCAGACACAGAAAUUCACUUAGUGUUGCGGAGAAGUUAAGCAUUUAUCAGCUUAUUCUAUGAGCUACAGACUAGUUUUAGCAAAAAUUACAAAAUACGGCAGCAGCAUUAUACAAAGACACAAGAGACGGAACGACUGACAAUCGGUAGAGUUAAUUAACUCAGAUGAAAGUGACUACAUUUAUACGAUGUCAUCGAGGCUUGGUGGAAACUGAUAAACUCCAGGAGUAACGAAUGUUCCAUGAAAUGUCCAGGUCCCUUUUUCUUUUUUUGGAAUUUUUGGUCAGACUACAUUGCAGGUAAAGUCCCUUUAAACAUUAUUCCCUUCUGCUUGUUUGUCGUUACUGAGACCGGAUAAAAGAAGAAGCAGUGGCUGUUUUUUCACUCUCUAAAAUGACAACAUCAACUAACACAAAAUAUUAAAAAUCACAGGAGAUUCUCUCAGCUGGAUUUGCAUCGGGAGCUGCCCAUCAGUCACCUGCAAAGACACAUCAGACAGAUAGCAAGCUGUACA